UAGAAAAUGGUGUAGUGGAGGCACUUAGAGUUUUGAUCUCUACAGUAAGGGUUCGAGCCCCUUUUUUCUAA
rnacentral:tRNA from 1 species